UAUUAUUUUUUUUAAUUUCAUCAAAAAUAAUUUUAUUGCUGCUUUCAAAUAGAUCCUUAUUUAGUGAAACAUUGCGGUUUACCUCAUUAUUUUUUUUUUCAUUCCUAUUAUAUCCUUAAAUGUGUUUUUAUUUUAAAAAAAACUUAAAAAUUUGUUAUUUUUUCUUUCUUCUUGUUCUUUAUCACCAUCCCAAAUUUCUAGCCCUAAACUGCGUCUUCCUUCAUAUUGCCGCGCCUUCUUCUUGUCGCCUCCUCCAUUUUGAUGUCUCCUCUUUCAACUUUCGUCGAAGCUGUGUCAUAGAUUGAGUGUGACCGUAUUAACCAGAGAGAAGAAGAAAAAGAAAAUAGAAGAUUAGACCAGGGGAAUAAAAAGGAAAGAAAAUAGAAGAGGAACAUAGACUAUUUCCAUUCAUAAUCCGUUUGGUUACAAUAUUGC
rnacentral:lncRNA from 1 species